rnacentral:rRNA from 1 species
AUUGAACGCUGGCGGCAGGCCUAACACAUGCAAGUCGAACGAGUGGCGGACGGGUGAGUAAUGUCUGGGGAACUGCCCGAUGGAGGGGGAUAACUACAGAAAACGGUAGCUAAUACCGCAUCCCAUGGGAUGUGUCCAUAUGGGAUUAGCUAGUAGGUGGGGUAACGGCUCACCUGGGCGACGAUCCCUAGCUGGUCUGAGCGGAUGACCAGCCACACUGGAACUUAGACACGGUCCAGACUCCUACGGUAGGCAGCAGUGGGGAAUUUUGGACAAUGGGCGCAAGCCUGAUGCAGCCAUGCCGCGUGGAUGAAUAAGGCCUUCGGGUUGUAAAGUACUUUCAGCGAGGAGGCGUUACUCGCAGAAGAAGCACCGGCUAACUCCGUGCCAGCAGCCGCGGUAAUUC